CGGGAGGCAGCAGUGGGGAAUAUUGCACAAUGGGCGCAAGCCUGAUGCAGCCAUGCCGCGUGUAUGAAGAAGGCCUUCGGGUUGUAAAGUACUUUCAGCGGGGAGGAAGGGAGUAAAGUUAAUACCUUUGCUCAUUGACGUUACCCGCAGAAGAAGCACCGGCUAACUCCGUGCCAGCAGCCGCGGUAAUACGGAGGGUGCAAGCGUUAAUCGGAAUUACUGGGCGUAAAGCGCACGCAGGCGGUUUGUUAAGUCAGAUGUGAAAUCCCCGGGCUCAACCUGGGAACUGCAUCUGAUACUGGCAAGCUUGAGUCUCGUAGAGGGGGGUAGAAUUCCAGGUGUAGCGGUGAAAU
rnacentral:rRNA from 1 species